AUUGAACGCUGGCGGCAGGCUUAACACAUGCAAGUCGAGCGAGCGGCGGGCGGGUGUGGAAUGUAUGGGGACUGCCCGAUAGAGGGGGAUAACUACUGGAAACGGUAUCUAAUAUCGCAUACUCUAUGAUAACCCUUCUGGGAUUUGCUAGUAGGUGAGGUAAUGGAUCACCUAGGCGACGGUCCCUCGCUGGUCUGAGAGGAUGAUCAGCCACACUGUGACUGAGACACGGCCCAGACUCCUACGGAGGGAGCAGUGGGGAAUAUUGCACAAUGGGCGCAAGCCUGAUGCAGCCAUGCCGCGUGUAUGAAGAAGGCCCUAGGGUUGUAAAGUACUUUCAGUCGGGAGGCGUUACCGACAGAAGAAGCACCGGCUAACUCCGUGCCAGCAGCCGCGGUAAUAC
rnacentral:rRNA from 1 species